rnacentral:tRNA from 1 species
GCUCUAGCUCAGUGGCAGAGCACUUGCCUAGCAAGUAUGAGGCACUGGGUUCAAUCCUCAGCACCA